rnacentral:misc_RNA from 1 species
CAGAGUUCCGGCCCUUCGGGGUCGAUCUCCCACCCUUUGCUAUACCUUACCUUUUGUUGCUUUGGCGGGCCGCCAUUCGGCCGUCGGUUCCGGCCGGCGCGCGCCCGCCAGAGACACCCAAACCCUGUAUUACAGUGUCGUCCGAGUACUAUAUAAUAGUUA